UACGUAGGGUGCAAGCGUUGUCCGGAAUUAUUGGGCGUAAAGGGCUCGUAGGCGGCCUGUUACGUCUGCUGUGAAAUCCCGGGGCUUAACCCCGGGCGUGCAGUGGAUACGGGCAGGCUGGAGGCAGGCAGGGGAGAACGGAAUUCCCGGUGUAGCGGUGAAAUGCGCAGAUAUCGGGAGGAACACCGGUGGCGAAGGCGGUUCUCUGGGCCUGUACUGACGCUGAGGAGCGAAAGCGUGGGGAGCGAACAGG
rnacentral:rRNA from 1 species